UACGUAGGGUGCGAGCGUUGUCCGGAAUUAUUGGGCGUAAAGAGCUCGUAGGCGGUUUGUUGCGUCGGCUGUGAAAUCCCGAGGCUCAACCUCGGGUCUGCAGUCGAUACGAGCAAACUAGAGUGUUGCAGGGGAGACUGGAAUUCCUGGUGUAGCGGUGAAAUGCGCAGAUAUCAGGAGGAACACCGGUGGCGAAGGCGGGUCUCUGGGCAACAACUGACGCUGAGGAGCGAAAGCGUGGGGGGCGAACAGG
rnacentral:rRNA from 1 species